UGCCUGGUGUUCUGUUCUUGCUGUUUCAUGUUUUCAGACAGCGAGUCCUGAGAAGGCGUUAUCCUUUCCCUACACCUGUAGGAUUGUCUCCAGUUUGUUUUGUCUUGGAAAACUCCAGGCCUUCUGCUGUGUUGCCCUCCGGUUGCCUCCUUUCCCGCUCAGCUUGGAAGGUGUCUGUUGAUCAGCUCUGUUCUGGCUACUGCAGUUUCUACACCUACAUCAAGAUCCACUUCUCUCCUGGCCACUGAAGCAACGCUUGACAUCCAGUCCAGCUCUGCCCUCCUUCAGGUUGGGGAAGAGCUAACUGGGCAUCUCUCCAGGUGCUGGCAGAACAGCUCAGGCAAUCAAAGGGCUAAGCGUUUCUUUUGGCAUGUGGAAUCUUAGCUCCCUGACC